GUGGGAUGGUUCCGAUGAUUACAUCAACUUCAGUACUCGACUGGUACUUCAUUUUAGAGUUCCUGAAAAGAAGAAUACCAAAGUUAACCUCAGCGGGAGUUGAACUCAGAACGUAAUAAGCCUGAAGGAAUAACGGAAGUCAUUUUGUCCGAAGCUCUAACGAUUCUUCCAGUAACUUCCAGUGACUGCAGGUCUCAAAAAGUUGAACAAGAUUGGAAAAUACCAAACGAAAAUGUUGUUGCUGAAUUAUCAACUUUCUGUCCUUAAUAAUUAAGCUAGUAUGAUUAGAAUAUGCAAGUACUUAUUGCAAUUUAUUUUCAAAUAAUUGGAAAAAACCUCACUGAUUUGAAGCAAAAUAUAUUACCGAAUUCAAACCAGCCAAUCGUCAGUGGAAACAAAAAUGACGGAACAUAAGGAUACUACAUUAUUUUACUGUUUAAUGAGUACC